GCUCUUGCAUGUUGUCUUUAAUUGCAGUUGUAGAAGGAUGCUAAUGUGGCUCUUGGACCAAAGAAAAUAUGCCUGUAUUGGCAAAAGAAGCAAUCCUUUCAUUGUGAUACAUUGGCUGUAGGUGUAUCAAGAGAGAGAGAAAUCAAGUUAGUCCUGAUUGAUACCAAGUAAAGAAACCGGAGAGACUCCAUCUUCCAGAAGAGAAAUUAUAGGUGGGAGAGAAGAACAAGGAGACAGGCUUUCGUAGGAGGGAGUUGGCAACACUAGCUGUAAAAGAAGGCUAGUCUCCAAAGAGCGCCGGGAAAGAGAGAUGAUGUGGUCUGGAGUAGAGGCCAUGUGCAGGAAAGAGCUGGAAGGCAGCAAGGAGUGACGUAGAGGAGUGCAUUGAUCCCGUCAAGUACCAAGGAACAGAAAAUUACGCCGAGCCACCUGCUGGGAGCUGGAGACAGCGACGCCACUUCCCCU